rnacentral:tRNA from 1 species
GGGCCCAUAGUCUAGCGGUAUGAUGCCACUCUCACACAGUGGAGGCCGCAGGUUCGAAUCCUGCUGGGCCCACCA